rnacentral:ncRNA from 1 species
UAUAGAGUUAAGUUUGAUUUUGGUUUAGAGAUGAGUUGCAAUAAUAUUACUUAUUUUUAGUUUAUAGAAUACACAAUAAGUUUUUAUGUUGGUAAUUUGUUAUUUGUUUAAUUUAUGUUCCAGAAUAAUCGGCUAUGCAUAAUAAGUUUAAACUUUAAUUGUUAUUAAGACUAUUUUAAGUUUUUUUGUUAUAAGUAAUUUUUGUUAAAUGUUGUUAUUUUUAAUUUUGGGGGUAGUUUUAUUAGAUUUGUAAUUUGAAUUGGAUUAGUACCCAAGUAAUCAAAAUAGAAUAAUACGGGAGUAAAGUUUAUUUUAAACCGUAAAAAUAUUGACUGACUUCAGAAUAUUCUUUGGAAUAUGCAUGUAAUGGGAGAGCCCUCUUUUUUUACCUGAGCUUUAUGUUUAUGUAUGAUUGUUUAAUAUAAAUAUUUUUUAUUGUAUUUAAAUUUUUUUUCUUUUUAAAAAUAGAUAUAUAUUUAAUUUAUGUUCGGGCAAUUGUGUUUUACUAUGAAUAAUUUAGCGGAUUUAAAAAUUUUGAAAGUAAUUAAUGAAGUUGGAAAAGAAAGUAAAAUUUUUUUGGUAAGUUAAUUUGAAUUUUUUAAGUGGAGUGGUACAAACCAUCCGUCAAUGGUCUUUUAAGAGCGUAAGUUGUAGUAUGGUAGAGGUAAGGAAACUUGUUUCUAAUUUU